rnacentral:rRNA from 1 species
UUUGUAUCUGGCUCAGGACGAACGCUGGCGGCGUGCCUAAUACAUGCAAGUCGAGCGGACAGAUGGGAGCUUGCUCCCCUGAUGUUAGCGGCGGACGGGUGAGUAACACGUGGGUAACCUGCCUGUAAGACUGGGAUAACUCCGGGAAACCGGGGCUAAUACCGGAUGGUUGUCUGAACCGCAUGGUUCAGACAUAAAAGGUGGCUUCGGCUACCACUUACAGAUGGACCCGCGGCGCAUUAGCUAGUUGGUGAGGUAACGGCUCACCAAGGCGACGAUGCGUAGCCGACCUGAGAGGGUGAUCGGCCACACUGGGACUGAGACACGGCCCAGACUCCUACGGGAGGCAGCAGUAGGGAAUCUUCCGCAAUGGACGAAAGUCUGACGGAGCAACGCCGCGUGAGUGAUGAAGGUUUUCGGAUCGUAAAGCUCUGUUGUUAGGGAAGAACAAGUGCCGUUCAAAUAGGGCGGCACCUUGACGGUACCUAACCAGAAAGCCACGGCUAACUACGUGCCAGCAGCCGCGGUAAUACGUAGGUGGCAAGCGUUGUCCGGAAUUAUUGGGCGUAAAGGGCUCGCAGGCGGUUUCUUAAGUCUGAUGUGAAAGCCCCCGGCUCAACCGGGGAGGGUCAUUGGAAACUGGGGAACUUGAGUGCAGAAGAGGAGAGUGGAAUUCCACGUGUAGCGGUGAAAUGCGUAGAGAUGUGGAGGAACACCAGUGGCGAAGGCGACUCUCUGGUCUGUAACUGACGCUGAGGAGCGAAAGCGUGGGGAGCGAACAGGAUUAGAUACCCUGGUAGUCCACGCCGUAAACGAUGAGUGCUAAGUGUUAGGGGGUUUCCGCCCCUUAGUGCUGCAGCUAACGCAUUAAGCACUCCCG